GACGAACGCUGGCGGUGUGCUUCACACAUGCAAGUCGAACGAGGUAGCAAUACCUAGUGGCGGACGGGUGAGUAACGCGUGGGAAUCUGCCUUUAGAUGGGGGAUAACGAGCUGAAAGGUUCGCUAAUACCGCAUAGGUCGCAAGAUUAAAGGGUAAUCCGUCUAGAGAUGAGCCCGCGUCCGAUUAGCUAGUUGGUAGGGUAAAGGCCUACCAAGGCGACGAUCGGUAGCUGGUCUGAGAGGAUGAUCAGCCACAAUGGGACUGAGACACGGCCCAUACUCCUACGGGAGGCAGCAGUGGGAAUUUUACGCAAUGGGCGAAAGCCUGACGUAGCGACACCGCGUGAGCGAAGAAGCCCUUGGGUGUAAAGCUCUGUCGGCUGGAACGAAAAAAUGACGGUACCAGCAAAGG
rnacentral:rRNA from 1 species